rnacentral:rRNA from 1 species
AUGGGUAGAUACUGCAUUGCAAUCUACCGAGCUAGAGACAAGAAUCGUGCGAAUGUGGACCGAAGUCGUCUUGUGCGCUUCCGAAACACCUUAAACGAUUGCGAGCUCAAGGAGAUUCACCUUCAAAAUAGAAGAUUCACUUGGAGUAAUGAGCAAGACCCAACUUUGAGCAAGCUUGAUAGUUUCUUCUGCAAUGAGGAUUGGGACGUUGAUUUCUCUACUCACAUCCUUCAUGCCCUCUCAUCAUCGUUAUCCGACCACUGUCCCUUUUUGCUUGCUAACGAUGAUGGGCCCAAGCGACCCAAGUCCUUCCGCUUCGAAAACUUCUGGAUCAAAAUGCCGGGCUUCCAACAGGUGGUCAGUGAUGCUUGGAGCGAGGAAUCAAGGCAUGUUGAGCCCUACCAAAGGCUCUUCCACAAGCUCAAGAAGACAAGCCAAAAAUUGCGUGUUUGGAGCAAGACCCUCUUUGCCAACUCGAAGGUCCAAAUCCACAUGGCCCUCAAAGUCAUCCUCCACCUUGAUUUAGCGCAAGAGGAAAGAGUUCUCACUCCAGAAGAAAGUGACAUC